AACCUGUUCUAUUGCACACUUAUACAAGUAGGGCCCCCCUGACAGACAGAGUGGAGAGGAUGUUAGCAGUAAGUUUAUGUUGACUUUAAUGAUUAAUUUUCCCUUCCUCUGAUCCGUCAGAAGAAUAACCCACAAAAAACGGAUCCUGUCUUUGGAGC